GCACGUCCCGAGUAGACUCCUGCACACACGAUGCCGCGCGCGUUCACGUUAUAUGGGCGUACCCGACACCCACCGCAGGACUCCACAGAUACAUUGUCCAAAGUCCACUUCAUGUAAAUGCAAUGAGGAAGCCGAUCAGCUGACUCAACCGCAGGUCGAACAUUAAACCCUGCAUGCUGAGAAGUUGACCACCGGCCCAUUCCAAACCAAGACCAUAAUGGAUUAAUUCAUCUUUUUUUUGUUGUUGUUCUGAAUAUACAAGCUGCACUCUUAGAGAUUGCUUUUCCAAGUGUAAAGUGUUGAAUACAUCUGGCUUAAGACGGCUUCGGCCAUGUCUCUGUCUUUGAGGAGGCCUGCAGGGCUCUCUUUUUGGAUUUCCGUGUGUCUCCUGCUCAUCCUCACUAAGAUGUUGACCUCCCUGGUUCUCUUUGCUGGUGUGUUCAUCGUCUCCAAAGAGGUCCUCAUCAGUCCCUUUCCAAUUUUGUUCUACGCGUCAACAUGGCGAGCCAUCCUGCUCGUCCAGGGAACCCAUCGGCGGAGAUGAAAACGAACCUCCUGGCAACCGCGGUUCUCCUGUGUUUGUACAUCCCCGUGGUGCUCGUGGCCUUUGCCCUUCUGGCCAUGUUGAAUGAAGCCAAAGUGCUUGACUACGGUAUAGUUUAGUUGAUGCUCUUCACCAUUAGAAUAAAAGUACUUUAUGUUU